GGUUCCAUAGUGUAGCGGUUAGCACAUUCACUUUACACACAGAAGGUCCUGGGUUCGCGCCCCUGUGGAGCCA
rnacentral:tRNA from 1 species